UCGCGGCUUAUCACCGGCAGUCCUGUUAGAGUUCCCAACUAAAUGAUGGCAACUAAAGACGAGGGUUGCGCUCGUUGCGGGACUUAACCCAACAUCUCACGACACGAGCUGACGACAGCCAUGCAGCACCUGUCACUCAUCCAGCCGAACUGAAGGAAACCAUCUCUGGAAUCCGCGAUGAGGAUGUCAAACGCUGGUAAGGUUCUGCGCGUUGCUUCGAAUUAAUCCACAUAAUCCACCGCUUGUGCGGGUCCCCGUCAAUUCCUUUGAGUUUUAACCUUGCGGCCGUACUCCCCAGGCGGUCGACUUCACGCGUUAGCUUCGUUACUGAGAGUGUCAAACCCCCAACAACCAGUCGACAUCGUUUAGGGCGUGGACUAC
rnacentral:misc_RNA from 1 species